UACAGAGGGUGCGAGCGUUAAUCGGAAUUACUGGGCGUAAAGCGUGCGUAGACGGUUAUUUAAGUCGGGUGUGAAAGCCCCGGGCUCAACCUGGGAAUUGCAUUCGAGACUGAAUAGCUAGGGUACGGUAGAGGGAAGCGGAAUUUCCGGUGUAGCGGUGGAAUGCGUAGAUAUCGGAAGGAACAUCAGUGGCGAAAGCGGCUUCCUGGACCAGUACCGACGUUCAGGCACGAAAGCGUGGGGAGCAAACAGG
rnacentral:rRNA from 1 species